UGCGUCUCGCUAAAGAGAACAAGGAACUGCAGAGUCGUGUGGACCAGAGUAAAGUGACUUUGGAGGCCCUCGAGAGGCAGUUAGAGGAAGAAAAACAGAAAGUCAAGAAUAAAGAAGCUCUCAGCGGAGUGGCGACAGAAAGUGAGCUGCAGCUGCAGCUGGAAUGCGCGCAGACGGAGGUGGAGUUCCUGCGCAGGCGUCUGCGGCAGACAGAGGAAAGACUUGAGAGUGAGAAAGAGGCCCGUCAGCUGCUGGAUAC